GUUCUUGUAGUUAAAUUUUGUAACGAUGGUUUUUCAGGCCAUAAAUCUCGGAGAAAGGCCGAGCGAGAAUU
rnacentral:tRNA from 1 species